rnacentral:pre_miRNA from 1 species
CUCAUACUCCCUCCGUUCGGAAUUACUUGUCGUAGAAAUGGAUGUAUCUAGAUGUAUUUUAGUUCUAGAUACAUCCAUUUCCGAGACAAGUAAUUCCGAACGGAGGGAGUAGACC